CACCAACGUCACCACCACCACCUC
rnacentral:siRNA from 1 species